rnacentral:rRNA from 1 species
CCAAUAGCGUAUAUUAAAGUUGUUGCAGUUAAAAAGCUCGUAGUUGAAUUUCGGGAUCAAUAUGCCGGUCAUGCCUUGGUAUGCACUGGUAUCUUUGAUUUCUCCCUUCUGACGAAUUUUGAUGUCAUUAAUUUGGUGUCAUAGGGAAUCAGGACUGUUACUUUGAAAAAAUUAGAGUGUUUAAAGCAGGCUCACGCUUG